rnacentral:rRNA from 1 species
GACGAACGCUGGCGGCGUGCUUAACACAUGCAAGUCGAACGGAAAGGCCCUGCUUUUGUGGGGUGCUCGAGUGGCGAACGGGUGAGUAACACGUGAGUAACCUGCCCUUGACUUUGGGAUAACUUCAGGAAACUGGGGCUCAUACCGGAUAGGAGCUCCUGCUGCAUGGUGGGGGUUGGAAAGUUUCGGCGGUUGGGGAUGGACUCGCGGCUUAUCAGCUUGUUGGUGGGGUAGUGGCUUACGAAGGCAUUGACUGGUAGCCGGCCUGAGAGGGUGACCGGCCACAUUGGUACAGAGAUACGGCCCAGACUGGUACGGGAGGCAGCGGUGGGGAAUAUGACAGAAUGGGCCGAAGCGUGAUGCAGCAACGCCGCGUGCGGGAUGACGGCUUUCGGGUUGUAAACCGCUGUCGCCGGAGACGAAGCGUGAGUGACGGUAACGGGUAAAGAAGCACCGGCUAACUACGUG